UACAGGGGGGGCAAGCGUUGUUCGGAAUUACUGGGCGUAAAGGGUUUGUAGGUGGCUUGCUAAGUCAGACGUGAAAUCCCUCAGCUUAACUGGGGAACUGCGUCUGAUACUGGCGAGCUUGAGUGCAGGAGAGGAACGCGGAAUUCCAGGUGUAGCGGUGAAAUGCAUAGAUAUCUGGAGGAACACCGGUGGCGAAGGCGGCGUUCUGGACUGCAACUGACACUGAAAAACGAAAGCCAGGGGAGCAAACGGG
rnacentral:rRNA from 1 species